rnacentral:tRNA from 1 species
CUCUUUCUGGUGUAGUGGUUUGAGUGUUGGACUAUGACUCUGGAGACCAGGGUUUGAUUCCCUGCUCGGUCA